CUGGGAGGACCAUCUCCUAAGGCUAAAUACUCUCUAGUGACCGAUAGUGAACCAGUACCGUGAGGGAAAGGUGAAAAGCACCCCGGAAGGGGAGUGAAAUAGAACCUGAAACCGUGUGCUUACAAGUAGUCAGAGCCCGUUAAUGGGUGAUGGCGUGCCUUUUGUAGAAUGAACCGGCGAGUUACGAUUUGAUGCAAGGUUAAGCAGUAAAUGUGGAGCCGUAGCGAAAGCGAGUCUGAAUAGGGCGUUUAGUAUUUGGUCGUAGACCCGAAACCAGGUGAUCUACCCUUGGUCAGGUUGAAGUUCAGGUAACACUGAAUGGAGGACCGAACCGACUUACGUUGAAAAGUGAGCGGAUGAACUGAGGGUAGCGGAGAAAUUCCAAUCGAACCUGGAGAUAGCUGGUUCUCUCCGAAAUAGCUUUAGGGCUAGCCUCAAGUGAUGAUUAUUGGAGGUAGAGCACUGUUUGGACGAGGGGCCCCUCUCGGGUUACCGAAUUCAGACAAACUCCGAAUGCCAAUUAAUUUAACUUGGGAGUCAGAACAUGGGUGAUAAGGUCCGUGUUCGAAAGGGAAACAGCCCAGACCACCAGCUAAGGUCCCAAAAUAUAUGUUAAGUGGAAAAGGAUGUGGCGUUGCCCAGACAACUAGGAUGUUGGCUUAGAAGCAGCCAUCAUUUAAAGAGUGCGUAAUAGCUCACUAGUCGAGUGACACUGCGCCGAAAAUGUACCGGGGCUAAACAUAUUACCGAAGCUGUGGAUUGUCCUUUGGACAAUGGUAGGAGAGCGUUCUAAGGGCGUUGAAGCAUGAUCGUAAGGACAUGUGGAGCGCUUAGAAGUGAGAAUGCCGGUGUGAGUAGCGAAAGACGGGUGAGAAUCCCGUCCACCGAUUGACUAAGGUUUCCAGAGGAAGGCUCGUCCGCUCUGGGUUAGUCGGGUCCUAAGCUGAGGCCGACAGGCGUAGGCGAUGGAUAACAGAUUGAUAUUCCUGUACCACCUAUAAUCGUUUUAAUCGAUGGGGGGACGCAGUAGGAUAGGCGAAGCGUGCGAUUGGAUUGCACGUCUAAGCAGUAAGGCUGAGUAUUAGGCAAAUCCGGUACUCGUUAAGGCUGAGCUGUGAUGGGGAGAAGACAUUGUGUCUUCGAGUCGUUGAUUUCACACUGCCGAGAAAAGCCUCUAGAUAGAAAAUAGGUGCCCGUACCGCAAACCGACACAGGUAGUCAAGAUGAGAAUUCUAAGGUGAGCGAGCGAACUCUCGUUAAGGAACUCGGCAAAAUGACCCCGUAACUUCGGGAGAAGGGGUGCUCUUUAGGGUUAACGCCCAGAAGAGCCGCAGUGAAUAGGCCCAAGCGACUGUUUAUCAAAAACACAGGUCUCUGCUAAACCGUAAGGUGAUGUAUAGGGGCUGACGCCUGCCCGGUGCUGGAAGGUUAAGAGGAGUGGUUAGCUUCUGCGAAGCUACGAAUCGAAGCCCCAGUAAACGGCGGCCGUAACUAUAACGGUCCUAAGGUAGCGAAAUUCCUUGUCGGGUAAGUUCCGACCCGCACGAAAGGCGUAACGAUUUGGGCACUGUCUCAACGAGAGACUCGGUGAAAUCAUAGUACCUGUGAAGAUGCAGGUUACCCGCGACAGGACGGAAAGACCCCGUGGAGCUUUACUGUAGCCUGAUAUUGAAAUUCGGCACAGCUUGUACAGGAUAGGUAGGAGCCUUUGAAACGUGAGCGCUAGCUUACGUGGAGGCGCUGGUGGGAUACUACCCUAGCUGUGUUGGCUUUCUAACCCGCACCACUUAUCGUGGUGGGAGACAGUGUCAGGCGGGCAGUUUGACUGGGGCGGUCGCCUCCUAAAAGGUAACGGAGGCGCUCAAAGGUUCCCUCAGAAUGGUUGGAAAUCAUUCAUAGAGUGUAAAGGCAUAAGGGAGCUUGACUGCGAGACCUACAAGUCGAGCAGGGUCGAAAGACGGACUUAGUGAUCCGGUGGUUCCGCAUGGAAGGGCCAUCGCUCAACGGAUAAAAGCUACCCCGGGGAUAACAGGCUUAUCUCCCCCAAGAGUUCACAUCGACGGGGAGGUUUGGCACCUCGAUGUCGGCUCAUCGCAUCCUGGGGCUGUAGUCGGUCCCAAGGGUUGGGCUGUUCGCCCAUUAAAGCGGUACGCGAGCUGGGUUCAGAACGUCGUGAGACAGUUCGGUCCCUAUCCGUCGUGGGCGUAGGAAAUUUGAGAGGAGCUGUCCUUAGUACGAGAGGACCGGGAUGGACAUACCUCUGGUGUACCAGUUGUCGUGCCAACGGCAUAGCUGGGUAGCUAUGUGUGGACGGGAUAAGUGCUGAAAGCAUCUAAGCAUGAAGCCCCCCUCAAGAUGAGAUUUCCCAACUUCGGUUAUAAGAUCCCUCAAAGAUGAUGAGGUUAAUAGGUUCGAGGUGGAAGCAUGGUGACAUGUGGAGCUGACGAAUACUAAUCGAUCGAAGACUUAAUCAA
rnacentral:rRNA from 1 species